rnacentral:lncRNA from 1 species
CCUAAAUGCAAGGAUUGUUUUUGGGGUCAGAAGAGUUCCAGGAUUUCAUGUGAUUGCUCAUUCAAGUGCCUGGAUAGCUGGGAUGUGAAAUCUGCAUUCUUAAUCCUAGACCUUGGCCAGUCAUCUGAGAUAUCACCUCACUGGCAAGACUACAUGGCACUUAGACCACACUGCUUAAUGGACUCCUGUGAGAGGAAAGGGGUUGGCUCAUCAAGCAAGAUGGUCUCUCUGAAUCAGGCUUUAAAGUCUGCUGAGAUGACAAGUGACAAGUGAACCUGCUUGAUGAAUAUUUGGUGAUUGUCUGAUGAUGGAGAAUGAAGGAAGGAUUGGGAAUAAAGGAGUUGACAACUGCUCUGAAGUACUAGGUGCCUUAUCACUUUUAUUUUUUCAGAUUUUCUAUGUUGAAUGAGGCAUAAUCAUAAUAAUGCCAUUUCCGUGAACAUUGGCAGUUCAUCACAGGGUAAUGGGAUAAGGCUUGUCCUUCUGUCCUUCAUCCCUCCUUAACUACUUCUCUUCUCUUGACAAUAACAUUAAUUAGAAAGACCAAAAGAAUGUCAUUAAUUAACAUUGAACUUUUUGGAAGUGCCAAUGUUAAGGAAAUCCCCAAAGGAUCCU